CGACAUAUCCGAUGUGACACCCAAAAAAUUUUCAUCUUUAAUCUAAACAGGCCCUGAAUAAGUGAUCUCUAUUAUUCUUCCAACUGCUGGCAUCAACGCAAACAAAUUUGUAACUACCUGAUGAGUCAGUAAUUGAAAAAAGCCAGUUGCUCCCGAGAGCCAAGAGAGGAAAACUUUGGCGGGCGAGCGAUACAGUCCACAAGCAGCAUGUCAUCUAGGUGCUGCCCAAUCGACCCCUGAUGCUUACAUGACUCCUCAAAUAAAGUGGGAACGAACCAAACAUGACACAGCUGCUCCUAAAGUUGCUCCUCUAGACUAGAGAAUGUGAUGCUUUGGCACAUCCAAACAAAUACUGGAUUUCUUUCUAAUUUCCUUGCUACGAAGAUAUGCUUUUCUGUAUUCCCAGAACCAAAAAUAUUGUUCUAGCACAUGCAUUACACACUUUGUCAUUAAAAAUAUCGUGCACAAUCUAAUGAUUGAUCAGUUGGAACUUCAAGGAAAGCAAAGGACGGAGUGCCCAUCUGGU
rnacentral:lncRNA from 1 species